ACGGGGCCGCACAAGCGGUGGAUGAUGUGGUAUUAAUUCGAUGCAACGCGAAAACCUUACCUACCCUUGACAUGUCCGGAAUCCCGAAGAGAUUUUGGGAGUGCUCGCAAGAGAGCCGGAACACAGGUGCUGCAUGGCUGUCGUCAGCUCGUGUCGUGAGAUGUUGGGUUAAGUCCCGCAACGAGCGCAACCCUUGUCAAUAGUUGCCAUCAUUUGGUUGGGCACUCUAAUGAGACUGCCGGUGACAAACCGGAGGAAGGUGGGGAUGACGUCAAGUCCUCAUGGCCCUUAUGGGUAGGGCUUCACACGUCAUACAAUGGUCGGUACAGAGGGUUGCCAACCCGCGAGGGGGAGCCAAUCCCAUAAAGCCAUUCGUAGUCCGGAUCGCAGUCUGCAACUCGACUGCGUGAAGUCGGAAUCGCUAGUAAUCGUGGAUCAGAAUGUCACGGUGAAUACGUUCCCGGGUCUU
rnacentral:rRNA from 1 species